GACAGAGGGUGCAAACGUUGUUCGGAAUUACUGGGCGUAAAGCGCGUGUAGGCGGCUCGGAAGGUCGGGUGUGAAAGCCCUGGGCUCAACCUAGGAAGUGCACUCGAAACUUCCGAGCUGGAGUUCUGGAGAGGAAGGCGGAAUUCUCGGUGUAGAGGUGAAAUUCGUAGAUAUCGAGAGGAACACCGGUGGCGAAGGCGGCAUCCUGGACCAACACUGACACUGAGGAGCGAAAGCCAGGGGAGCAAACGGG
rnacentral:rRNA from 1 species